rnacentral:lncRNA from 1 species
CCCGGCACCGCCCCGCCCACCCCGGCACCGCCCCGCCCACCCCGGCCCCGCCCCGCCGCGGGCCGCAGCUCGGGCGUAGGGCUGACGUCAGCGCGCCGCCUCCGCGGGAGUCAGACAGCGGGUCCUGCUCGGCCUGAGACUGAAGGGCGCCGGGCGUCUGCGGAGGCGGGGGAAGCUCGGGGCUUCACCGGGGGGCAGCUGCCCGGGGGUCUCUCUCCCCCAGUUCUCCUGGCCCUGGAGGGAGCCAUCCGCCGCACAAAAUCCCUUCUGAACCGCGAUGCUUUUUAUAGCAGUCCUCGCACAACUGCCUCUGGACCUGCUUUUACUAGGGGGUGCGGGGACUGAGAGGGUAACUUUUCCUGUGGCACAGGAGGAAUUUGGCCCGGAGGCUGCUGGUCAUGUUACUGGAACUGUGUGGGCUGGGCCGGGGGAGCCCCAACAAGGACCUGGCCAGAACCAGGAGCAGCAGCGACAGCGCCCGCCUGGCCUCGCUCACACAGGCCGUUUACACCCCUCGGGCGUGCUCAGGCAGACCCCCAAACAAGUCUACAAUGACGCUGGCGUUCUGCCUUGCACUUGAAAUCUGAUCCACAGCAAGAAGGACCUCACCAGAUGCUGGCACCUUGAUGUUGGACUUCCCAGCCUCCAGAACUGAGGAAAUAAAUUUCUAUUCUUUAUAAAUUACCAAGUCUGUAGUAUCCUGUUACAGCAACAUGAAACAUACUAAGAUAAUCUUUCAGAGCUCAUUUCUUCUUACAGAGAUUUUAAGAAGUACUUAUUUCAAGCGUUUUCCUAUGAGAUUAUAAUGAAAUUAUCCAUGUAAUGGUACUUUGUGGCGGGCCGGGAGCUCAGCAAAUACCAGCUUUUUUCACAAGCCCACAGCUCUUGGAAAACAGAACACUAUUUAACUAAAAUGAAAUGAAAUAAG